rnacentral:rRNA from 1 species
CUGGCUCAGGAUGAACGCUAGCUACAGGCUUAACACAUGCAAGUCGAGGGGCAGCAUGAUCUAAGCUUGCUAGAUGAUGGCGACCGGCGCACGGGUGAGUAACGCGUAUCCAACCUUCCCUAUAGUAGAGGAUAGCCCGGCGAAAGUCGGAUUAAUACUCUAUGUUUUCCAAUGCGGACAUCUAAGUUGGAACAAAGGUUUACCGCUAUAGGAUGGGGAUGCGUCUGAUUAGAUAGUAGGCGGGGUAACGGCCCACCUAGUCGACGAUCAGUAGGGGUUCUGAGAGGAAGGUCCCCCACAUUGGAACUGAGACACGGUCCAAACUCCUACGGGAGGCAGCAGUGAGGAAUAUUGGUCAAUGGGCGAGAGCCUGAACCAGCCAAGUAAGCGUGCAGGAUGACGGCCCUAUGGGUUGUAAACUGCUUUUAUCGGGGGAUAAAGUGAGGGACGUGUCCCUUAUUGUAGGUACCCGAUGAAUAAGGACCGGCUAAUUCCGUGCCAGCAGCGGC